UACGUAGGGCGCAAGCGUUGUCCGGAAUUAUUGGGCGUAAGGAGCUCGUAGGCGGUUUGUCGCGUCUGCUGUGAAAACCUAAGGCUCAACCUUGGGCUUGCAGUGGGUACGGGCAGACUAGAGUGAUGUAGGGGAGACUGGAAUUCCUGGUGUAGCGGUGAAAUGCGCAGAUAUCAGGAGGAACACCGAUGGCGAAGGCAGGUCUCUGGGCAUUAACUGACGCUGAGGAGCGAAAGCAUGGGGAGCGAACAGG
rnacentral:rRNA from 1 species